AACUAGCAACAACGGAUCUCUUGGUUCUCGCAUCGAUGAAGAACGUAGCGAAUUGCGAUAAGUAAUGUGAAUUGCAGAUACUCGUGAAUCAUUGAAUUUUGAACGCACAUUGCGCCCUUGAGCAUUCUCAGGGGCAUGCCUGUUUGAGCGUCA
rnacentral:rRNA from 1 species